rnacentral:rRNA from 1 species
AAGUCGUAACAAGGUUUCCGUAGGUGAACCUGCGGAAGGAUCAUUAUUGAAAUAAACCUGAUGGGUUGUUGCUGGUUCUCUAGGGAGCAUGUGCACACCUUGUCAUCUUUAUAUCUCCACCUGUGCACUUUUUGUAGACCUUUCAGGUCUAUGUUGCUUCAUUUACCCCAAUGUAUGUUAAUAGAAUGUUGUGCCUAUAUAAUAUAUACAACUUUCAGCAACGGAUCUCUUGGCUCUCGCAUCGAUGAAGAACGCAGCGAAAUGCGAUAAGUAAUGUGAAUUGCAGAAUUCAGUGAAUCAUCGAAUCUUUGAACGCACCUUGCGCUCCUUGGUAUUCCGAGGAGCAUGCCUGUUUGAGUGUCAUUAAUAUAUCAACCUUCUCUUUUUUGAGUUGUUUGGAUGUGGGGGUUUGCUGGCAUCUUAAAUGAUUCAGCUCCCCUGAAAUGCAUUAGCAGAACAACCUGUUCAUUGGCGUGAUAAUUAUCUAUGCUAUUGAAUGUGAGGGCAGUUCAGCUUUCUAACCGUCCUCGGACAAUUCAUCAUUAAUGUGACCUCAAAUCAGGUAGGACUACCCGCUGAACUUAA